rnacentral:rRNA from 1 species
GACGAACGCUGGCGGCGUGCUUAACACAUGCAAGUCGAACGAGGUCCAUGCAGUCGCAAGACUGCGGAAGAUCUAGUGGCGAACGGGUGCGUAACACGUGAGAAACCUGUCCCGGUCUCUGGAAUAACAAGUGGAAACACUUGCUAAUACCGGAUGCCGUCGGACCAUCGCAUGAUGGACUGACGAAAGGGCUACCGGAUCGGGAGGGUCUCGCGGCCCAUCAGCUUGUUGGUGAGGUAACGGCUCACCAAGGCAUCGACGGGUAGCUGGUCUGAGAGGAUGAUCAGCAACACUGGGACUGAGACACGGCCCAGACUCAUACGGGAGGCAGCAGUGGGGAAUCUUGCACAAUGGGCGAAAGCCUGAUGCAGCAACGCCGCGUGCGGGAAGAAGGCCCUAGGGUUGUAAACCGCUUUCAGCAGGGAAGAAACUGACGGUACCUGUAGAAGAAGGUGCGGCCAACUACGUG